UCGGGAAUAUUGCGCAAUGGAGGAAACUCUGACGCAGUGACGCCGCGUGCAGGAAGAAGGUUUUCGGAUUGUAAACUGCUUUAGACAGGGAAGAAACAAGACAGUACCUGUAGAAUAAGCUCCGGCUAACUACGUGCCAGCAGCCGCGGUAAUACGUAGGGAGCAAGCGUUAUCCGGAUUUAUUGGGUGUAAAGGGUGCGUAGACGGGAAAUUAAGUUAGUUGUGAAAUCCCUCGGCUUAACUGAGGAACUGCAACUAAAACUGGUUUUCUUGAGUGCUGGAGAGGAAAGUGGAAUUCCUAGUGUAGCGGUGAAAUGCGUAGAUAUUAGGAGGAACACCAGUGGCGAAGGCGACUUUCUGGACAGUAACUGACGUUGAGGCACGAAAGUGUGGGGAGCAAACAGG
rnacentral:rRNA from 1 species